rnacentral:lncRNA from 1 species
GUCUUGUAUUAUUUUAAUUUUAGUUUCUUGUGUACAAUUUGGAAAUUAGUAUGGCGUUCAUUAUCACUGAACUAGUAUAUAUUUGUUUAGGGGCCAGUUGAAGGACGCCUCCGGGUGCGGGAAUUUCUCGCUACAUUGAAGACCUGUUGGUGACCUUCUGCUGUUGUUUUUUUUUUUCUAUGGUCGGGUUGUUGUCUCUUUGGCACAUUCCCCAUUUCCAUUCUCAAUUUUAUUAAUAGACUUUCGCAGAAUUUUAUUUUAUUUUUAUUUUGUUGAUUUCCCUGAUCUCUUGUGCAUUACUUCAUUUUAUGCAUACAAAUAAGAGUAAAAGUUAUUUUGUCUUUUUUUAAUUGCACUUUUUAAAACAAUAAAAUCGGGAAAAG